rnacentral:rRNA from 1 species
UUUUAUUUGAGAGUUUGAUCCUGGCUCAGGAUGAACGCUGGCGGCGUGCCUAACACAUGCAAGUUGAGCGAUUUACUUCGGUAAAGAGCGGCGGACGGGUGAGUAACGCGUGGGUAACCUACCCUGUACACACGGAUAACAUACCGAAAGGUAUGCUAAUACGGGAUAAUAUAUUUGAGAGGCAUCUCUUGAAUAUCAAAGGUGAGCCAGUACAGGAUGGACCCGCGUCUGAUUAGCUAGUUGGUAAGGUAACGGCUUACCAAGGCGACGAUCAGUAGCCGACCUGAGAGGGUGAUCGGCCACAUUGGAACUGAGACACGGUCCAAACUCCUACGGGAGGCAGCAGUGGGGAAUAUUGCACAAUGGGCGAAAGCCUGAUGCAGCAACGCCGCGUGAGUGAUGAAGGCCUUCGGGUCGUAAAACUCUGUCCUCAAGGAAGAUAAUGACGGUACUUGAGGAGGAAGCCCCGGCUAACUACGUGCCAGCAGCCGCGGUAAUACGUAGGGGGCUAGCGUUAUCCGGAUUUACUGGGCGUAAAGGGUGCGUAGGCGGUCUUUCAAGUCAGGAGUGAAAGGCUACGGCUCAACCGUAGUAAGCUCUUGAAACUGGGAGACUUGAGUGCAGGAGAGGAGAGUGGAAUUCCUAGUGUAGCGGUGAAAUGCGUAGAUAUUAGGAGGAACACCAGUUGCGAAGGCGGCUCUCUGGACUGUAAC